rnacentral:rRNA from 1 species
GUGGGGAAUAUUGGACAAUGGGCGCAAGCCUGAUCCAGCCAUGCCGCGUGAGUGAUGAAGGCCCUAGGGUUGUAAAGCUCUUUCAGUGGGGACGAUAAUGACGGUACCCACAGAAGAAGCCCCGGCUAACUUCGUGCCAGCAGCCGCGGUAAUACGAAGGGGGCUAGCGUUGUUCGGCUUUACUGGGCGUAAAGCGCACGUAGGCGGAUCGUUAAGUCGAGGGUGAAAUCCUGGAGCUCAACUCCAGAACUGCCUUCGAUACUGGCGAUCUUGAGUCCGGAAGAGGUGAGUGGAACUCCUAGUGUAGAGGUGGAAUUCGUAGAUAUUAGGAAGAACACCAGUGGCGAAGGCGGCUCACUGGUCCGGUACUGACGCUGAGGUGCGAAAGCGUGGGGAGCAAACAGGAUUAGAAACCCCAGUAGUCC